rnacentral:lncRNA from 1 species
GGGGACGGCCCGUUUCACCCUCAUACUGGACGGGGUAUUGGGGUUUAUAGUUUUGACGCCCAUACCGGACGGGGUAUGGGGACGGCCCUGGAAUUUGAUUACAAGUGUUAAGGGUUCACGGGUAGCGGGACCCCUAUGGAUCCCCAUGGAUACUAGUAGGCUGGUAAAUGAGGAAAAAUAUGUUGUGUAACGAUUGAAAUGCAAAAUGCGUGAUAAGUAUUAUGUAUACAGUUCAUAUGAUUUCAUGAUGAUGAUAAUGUUAUUGCUUUCGUAUGUUGUUUUAUGAACUUCACCGAGGUAAGUGGAUAGUAAAGGAUUUUAUUAUUGACAAAAGAAUUUGUUGUAAAUUAUGCUCCAUUGGUCUUUUUGUGUUUUCUACCCACUUUUACCUCCGUGACGGUGAAAUAGUGUGAUGUCUCUACUGGGCUAGUGUAGCUCAUUCCUUAUUUAAUCAUUUCAGAUCAGGAAGACAUUGUUCCCGAGCCCGUUCCGCAGGAAGACGACGAAGGGGACGCCUGAAGACUCCGUAGUUAUAUUUAUAGCUUUUAUUUUUAAGUUUCUCUUUUAGUUAGUUUGUUCUUUUAUACUUUGAGCACGUUUUUGGUUUUAGUGUAAGGGAUGUUAAUCAAAAUUUUUAUUACGCUUCCGCAUUUGACCUUUUUAAUACACAUAUUUCAUU